UUGACCUCGAAUCAGGUAGGAAUCCCCGCUGAACUUAAGCAUUUCAAUAAGCGGAGGAAAAGAACCCACCAGGGAUUGCCCCAGUAACCGGGAGUGAAGCGGCAACAGCUCAAAUUUGAAAUCUGGCUUUCGGGCCCGAGUUGUAAUUUGUAGAGGAUGCUUUUGGUGAGGUGCCUUCCGAGUUCCCUGGAACGGGACGCCAUAGAGGGUGAGAGCCCCGUCUGGUUGGACACCGAUCCUCUGUAAAGCUCCUUCGACGAGUCGAGUAGUUUGGGAAUGCUGCUCUAAAUGGGAGGUAUAUGUCUUCUAAAGCUAAAUACCGGCCAGAGACCGAUAGCGCACAAGUAGAGUGAUCGAAAGAUGAAAAGAACUUUGAAAAGAGAGUUAAACAGUACGUGAAAUUGUUGAAAGGGAAGCGCUUGUGACCAGACUUGGGCUUGGUUGAUCAUCCGGGGUUCUCCCCGGUGCACUCUUCCGGCCCAGGCCAGCAUCAGUUCGCCCUGGGGGACAAAGGCUUCGGGAAUGUGGCUCUCUCCGGGGAGUGUUAUAGCCCGUUGCGUAAUACCCUGUGGCGGACUGAGGUUUGAGCAAACACAAGGGUGCUGGCGGA
rnacentral:rRNA from 1 species